UACGAAGGGGGCUAGCGUUGCUCGGAAUCACUGGGCGUAAAGGGUGCGUAGGCGGGUUAUUAAGUCAGAGGUGAAAUCCUGGAGCUCAACUCCAGAACUGCCUUUGAUACUGAUAGUCUUGAGUAUGGGAGAGGUGAGUGGAACUGCGAGUGUAGAGGUGAAAUUCGUAGAUAUUCGCAAGAACACCAGUGGCGAAGGCGGCUCACUGGCCCAUUACUGACGCUGAGGCACGAAAGCGUGGGGAGCAAACAGGGA
rnacentral:rRNA from 1 species